UCUAUAAAUUAAGUGUUUUUGUCGCACAACAUCAUUGAUACCUGAUCAUACACUGAAGACCCGAAUUCAAUUCCUCAGCUCUUGAGACACGUGCUGUUACCAUGAAUACCUAUAUCCUCCUUGUAUUGUUUGCCGCCGGUGUAGUAGCUGUGUCCGCCAACGGAGAAAAGGUCCCCGUCGUAGCCACUGAAAAAGAGUUGGCAGACUUUUCGGAACACGACUUGGACGAAUUUCUGGAGGAUAUGUCUGAGGAUUUCACGGACUUCGAAACCGGCGACAUACACCCAGGCGUAAUGUCUAAGGAUGACGCUGACUUCCAAAACGACGACGUACACCCAGACGUAAUGUCUAAGGAUGACGCUGACUUCCAAAGCGACGACGUACAUCCUGGGUUUAUGUCUAAUGAUGACGCUGACCUCGAGACAGGGAAUUAAGAAGAAUCGAAUGAAGACUUUAAAUAUUAAAAUUCGUUUUAAUUAUUCAAAAUAAAACAUGAAAUAAAAAGUUUACUGCUGCAA